AUCGCGCAGGGCGGCGUGCUGCCCAACAUCCAGGCCGUGCUGCUGCCCAAGAAGACCGACAGCCACAAGGCUAAAGCCAAGUAAAUCUCAUCUGACAAAACAACCCAAAGGCUCUUUUCAGAGCCACCCACAUCUUCCUAGAAAGAGCAGGAACGCUUGAACCCGGGAAUACGUGAUAUGUCAAUGUAUUUAGAAACUUGAAAUCUCCCGGUUGGGAAGGGGGGCUUCUAAAAUGUUAUGUAUCUUUACAUUCUACCUUGGCGGUCUGUAGCUUCCUGCCUUUUUUAUCUUGGAAGUUACGGUACUUAUGUAAGCGUGCGUCAGUUCCUCUUUAAAAAAAAAAAAAAAAUCAAUAAAAGGUAGCGGUUGUGACUGAUGAAAUCGGUCACCGCUGUGUGGAUUAAGAAGAGAUGUGAACUCUGCGAGGGUGCGCUCGCUGCCUCCCGGCGCUUGCUGGGGGUGAAGCGCCUCUCACCCCGGGGGAGGGAGGAAGGACGGGGCGGGUUCGGGGCCUCCCCCGGCCAAUCCGGCUGGAGCGCGCGGCCUUCAAACCUCGGGGGCACCGGGACAUCUCCCUGCGGGCCCGGCUGCCCUGGGAUCCGGCUAGAAGAGGGAUUCCAGUGCCUUGCGAGCAGCGCUUGCUGCGGUUUUCUGCUUUCUGAGGUUCUCUUUUUUUUUUUUUUCCUCUUUUGCAACUUCGAGCUUCCUGGCAAUAAUAAGAAAAGCGGAGGAGCUUCUCCGCCAUUGGUGCCUCGGGCUGGCCGCACUGCUGGGAGACGGCGACAGCUCCCCUCCCUUUCCUCUGAACAGCGUUCUGCCUCAGGAGGCGGAGGAGUGAGUCACUGGGGCGUUCUGUUCAUGGAAAAUGUUUUUCAAGCAGAGGAAGAUAACGUGGGAGUGCCCGGCUGAAGUCUUGCUUGGAAACAAGAUGAGAAUCUCGCCUGUUUCUAAGCG
rnacentral:lncRNA from 1 species